AGAGUUUGAUCCUGGCUCAGAACGAACGCUGGCGGCGCGUUUAAGGCAUGCAAGUCGAACGGUAAGGCACCUUCGGGUGUACACGAGUGGCAAACGGGUGAGUAACACGUGGAUAACCACCCCUCGAGUGGGGAACAACUUUAGGAAACUAGAGCUAAUACCGCAUGACAUCCUUUUUACACAUGUAGAAAGGAUUAAAGGAGCAAUCCGCUUGAGGACGGGUCCGCGCUCUAUUAGCUUGUUGGUGAGGUAAUGGCUCACCAAGGCUACGAUAGAUAGCCGACUUGAGAGAGUGAUCGGCCACAUUGGGACUGUGACACGGCCCAGACUCCUACGGGAGGCAGCAGCUAAGAAUCUUACGCAAUGGGCGAAAGCCUGACGUAGCGACGCCGCGUGGAUGAUGAAGGCCUUUUAGGUUGUAAAAUCCUUUUCUACAGGAAGAAUGUCUGUGAAAAAUCAGGCUGACGGUACUGUAGGAAUAAGCCCCGGCUAAUUACGUGCCAGCAGCCGCGGCAAUACGUGAGGGGCGAGCGUUGUUCGGAUUUAUUGGGCGUAAAGGGUGCGUAGGCGGAUGGGUAAGUUGGAUGUGCAAUCCCCGAGCUCAACUUGGGAACUGCGUCCAAAACUACUUAUCUUGAGUGCAGGAGGGGAAAUCGGAAUUUCAGGUGUAGGAGUGAAAUCUUUAGAUAUCUGAAAGAAAACCGGCGGUGAAGACGGAUUUCUGGCCUGCUACUGACGCUGAAGCACGAAAGCCAGGGGAGCGAACGGGAUUAGAUACCCCGGUAGUCCUGGCCGUAAACGUUGUAUACUAGGUGUAUGAGGCAUCGAUCCCUCAUGUGCCAAAGCUAACGCAUUAAGUAUACCGCCUGGAGAGUAUGCCCGCAAGGGUGAAAUUCAAAGGAAUUGACGGGGGCCCGCACAAGCGGUGGAGCAUGUGGUUCAAUUCGAUGAUACGCGAGAAACCUUACCAGGGUUUGACAUCUACUGGACCCCCCGAGAGAUCGGGGUUCUCUUCGGAGUUAGUGGACAGGUGCUGCAUGGCUGUCGUCAGCUCGUGUCGUGAGAUGUUGGGUUAAGUCCCGCAACGAGCGCAACCCUCAUCAUCUGUUACCAGCGAGUUAUGUCGGGGACUCAGAUGAAACUGCCGUCGAAAGGCGGAGGAAGGUGAGGAUGACGUCAAGUCCUCAUGGCCCUUACGUCCUGGGCUACACACGUGCUACAAUGGCCGGUACAAAGGGUUGCCAAGCCGCGAGGUGGAGCCAAUCCCAAAAAAACCGGUCUCAGUUCGGAUUGAAGUCUGAAACUCGACUUCAUGAAGUUGGAAUCGCUAGUAAUCGCGCAUCAGCACGGCGCGGUGAAUACGUUCCCGGGCCUUGUACACACCGCCCGUCACAUCACCCGAGUUGGUUGUACCCGAAGUCGCCGAGCUAACCGUAAGGAGGCAGGUGCCGAAGGUAAAGCUAGUAAGGGGGAU
rnacentral:rRNA from 1 species